rfam:Firmicutes bacterium GWF2_51_9 gwf2_scaffold_2462, whole genome shotgun sequence.
ACACUAGGGCAAUCGCUGGGCGACCAGAGGAAAGUCCAUGCUCGCACCGUCUGCGACGACGGUAGUGAUUAUGCUGGAUGAAACCAUAAAUCCAGGCGGGAAACCGACGGCUGACGAACUCCUAAAACGAAAGUCAUGGACAGAAUCUAUAAAAGUGCCACAGUGACGGAGUCCGAUGGGAAACCACCGGAGUGGAACGAGGUAAACCCCAUAAGCGAGAAACCCAAAUUUGGUAGGGGAACUUGGCGAUGCGAACUGAAGCAAAACCGAGGCGUGCAAGCGCAGAUAAAUGAUUGUCGCCCGCAAGGGAACAGAACAUGGCUUACAUAG